ACGUGCCUUCUGGUCUGGAAUAACCCUGGGAAACUAGGGCUAAUACCGGAUACGCCCUUUUGGGGAAAGGUUUACUGCCGGAAGAUCGGCCCGCGUCUGAUUAGCUAGUUGGUGGGGUAACGGCCUACCAAGGCGACGAUCAGUAGCUGGUCUGAGAGGAUGAUCAGCCACACUGGGACUGAGACACGGCCCAGACUCCUACGGGAGGCAGCAGUGGGGAAUAUUGGACAAUGGGCGCAAGCCUGAUCCAGCCAUGCCGCGUGAGUGAUGAAGGCCUUAGGGUUGUAAAGCUCUUUUAUCCGGGACGAUAAUGACGGUACCGGAGGAAUAAGCCCCGGCUAACUUCGUGCCAGCAGCCGCGGUAAUACGAAGGGGGCUAGCGUUGCUCGGAAUCACUGGGCGUAAAGGGCGCGUAGGCGGCGUUUUAAGUCGGGGGUGAAAGCCUGUGGCUCAACCACAGAAUGGCCUUCGAUACUGGGACGCUUGAGUAUGGUAGAGGUUGGUGGAACUGCGAGUGUAGAGGUGAAAUUCGUAGAUAUUCGCAAGAACACCGGUGGCGAAGGCGGCCAACUGGACCAUUACUGACGCUGAGGCGCGAAAGCGUGGGGGAGCAAACAGGAUUAGAUACCCUGGUAGUCCACGCGGUAAACGAUGAAUGCCAGCUGUUGGGGUGCUUGCACCGCAGUAGCGCAGCUAACGCUUUGAGCAUUCCGCCUGGGGAGUACGGUCGCAAGAUUAAAACUCAAAGGAAUUGAC
rnacentral:rRNA from 1 species